AACGUAGGGGGCUAGCGUUGCCCGGAAUCACUGGGCGUAAAGCGGGUGUAGGCGGUUCUUUAAGUCGGAUGUGAAAUCCAGCGGCCCAACCGCUGAAUUGCAUCCGAUACUGGGGAACUUGAGGACGGUAGAGGUCGGUGGAAUAUCCGGUGUACCGGUGAAAUGGACAGAUAUCGGAUGGAACACCAGUGGCGAAGGCGGCCGACUGGGCCGAUCCUGACGCUGAGACCCGAAAGCCAGGGUAGCGAACGGG
rnacentral:rRNA from 1 species